UAGACAGCGCAGCCCCUUGAAUACACUAGCAGGGAAGUUACAGAAGCCAACCUUCGGCUAUACAUUUUCUGGGGAGAUCCCCAAUAGCUUGAGAGUGGGGUACAGUCAUUCUGUGUUCUUUAUGGGGGCAUGACUAGAAGGCACAAAGCAGUGACAUUGUUCCUAGCAUUGAUCUUUAGCAUUUAAUAUUUUUUUAUACUAACUAAAUAUUUUAAAACCGGUCAAGAUGACCCAAGGCAUCUUGAUACCGGGAAGAUGUUUACAUUAGAUUUUUUUUUUCAUAAUCUAAUGUUUUGAGCUUCAAGCUUUCAUUGUUGCUAAUGUUUUGUGGUGGAUAUCUAAGGGUUAGAUGCCAAUAGGAAAAACUUUAAGCAGCAGGUGAGCUCUCUGUUGUAUCAGUAUUAAAGAAUGAUGACAGAUGUAACUGUCCCCAACCAAUCUAUAACAAGACCCAAACUAAUUCCUGUGAAACUACAUAAAGGGCAUUAUUUAUUGGUAUUUAUGUUUCCAGCAUAUCUUAUAAACCUGUAAUAAAUACUGUGCUUGGCCCAAGAAAUAACACCUUAUGGUGUAAUAGCUCAUACGUGGCAUGUUUUAAAACUUAAGUAAAAACAUUUUGGAUGCCAGUAUGAGGAGACUAAGGCAUAGUCCUUUGUGUAAGAUUGGUUUCCUGGCCUCCUUUACCCAGCCAAGAGAGGGAAGAGAAAGUGUUUUCUCUGCAGGGUCCCUCAUGUGCUGUGGAUUUAUGUCUUGUUUCCUGUUGUUUUGUUUUAGGACUUUUAUAGCUGUUAUAACAGUCAUACCUGUAUUCUCAGGCUCUCGGUGCAAGGGGUGUACUUAACUUUAAAGUUUAAGGAUACAAUAUACAUAUACUAGAGUCUUGCCUGCACCCUUCCAGAAAUAAUGCUAUCAUCUCUGAGGAUUGUAGAUUCUUGAGGACUUCUUGGUAGAUUGCUGCAGUUCCUUCUUGGCCAACCCUUCCUAAAGAUGUAUGUGUGUAUGUGCACAUGCGUGUGUUCAUGUGCGCAUGCGUGUGUAUGUGUUUUCAAAUUGCCCAUGUGAUAGCAUGGCUCAGAUUUAAAUGCCAAAUGCAUUAAAGAUUUGUAUAACAGCUGAGGCAUUAAGCACGUUUGAGCUGAAUGGAUUCUCACAGUGGAAGUAGAUACUGGUUAGCCGUCGACAUCUUGACCCCUUUCUUUAGAUUAGGCUUAAAAACCAUUUCAAAGUGGCAUUUUGCUAAAAGUUUAGGAUAAGUAUGUACUGACAUCUAAAACAUGAUUCGAAGUAGUCUGUGUUUCUCAUAAUCUGUGAUACUAUUCUGAGUCCACAGUGCAAUCUUUUUUUACCAUCAGUUUUUCUCAGAAGGUGUCUGACUGUGACUGGUAGCCAGUAUAACUGCAGAUCUCAGCUGGUAAACUAAGUGCUUUUAUAUUUGAAAUUGACUUCAUAAAGCCAAUAAGCAGUCCUCAGAGCAUGGAGAUAUGCUCAGGUGACUGUAGAAUGGCACUGGGUUAUAGAAUAUAGAAUUAAGGAACCUUGUAUUGUCUUCUGUUAAAGUGUCCCAGAGUUUGAAACUUCUAACAAGUUCCAUUUUAUCCUGUAUCAGUAGAAGCUGCAUCUCCAUUUGUUAGCACACACGCUACCUGUUGAGGACUUCCUAGCAUUAAGCUCCACGCCAGUUCUAUGCAUAACCAUUCGCCAGAUACUGCUACUGUGGUUUACAGGAGCCUUUCUGUCUUGUGCCGCGAUGCAUGAUCAUCUUGCUGCUUGACAGGUCCUUUGUGAGGAAUUGGAACUGUGUGUGUUAAUAGUACCUGUGUAUGACAAGAUGUAAAAUACAGACGAGAGAGAUGCAAAUGAAUGGUGUUCCUGUCUUAGAAUAUCUAAAGCUUCCAUGGGUUGUAUGUUUUAACUGCCUCUUUAAACUGCACAGAAUAAAUGAAAAUG
rnacentral:lncRNA from 1 species